rnacentral:lncRNA from 1 species
GACAAUAAAGAAAGUAAUCAUCUAAUAACAGCUACCAUCCAUGACACGUCUGCCAAUGCCAGCUCUUCAACCUGAAUGAUUUCAAUAGAUAGUACUGCUCCUAUGGUACAGAUGAGGGGAGUGGAGAGUGAAGAAUGUGUUCCCCAGAAAAGCAUCUUAAGAGAGUCUGAAGCUUGGAUGUGAGCAGCCCAAAUCAGGCCUGAUGCUGUGCACCUGCUCAGCUUUGCACCAGGGAAAGCUGCUGGCUUAUCACCACCUCAGGCUUUCUCCCAUUCCACACCUUCCAGAAAUCCCCGGCUCCAAAAACUCAGUUUUCAAUUCAUGUGGCAGGUAGAAGAGCCAGACUACAAGUACAGUAAAAAUAUCAUGAGGAUUUUCACUGGCAAAAUGCAAAUAUAAAAAAGUAACAACAUGCCCUUCAUCCACUAAUUUCAUAAUUCUUCUGAGACAAGCAAUAAAG